CAUUCAUCUACUUUUUCCAGUGAGGACCUCGGGGCCCAGAGCCGUGGAGGAAAUUGCCCCAGACUUUACAAGGUGUUCUCAGAAAUACCAGGCCUAGAAGGCAUUUCUCCCAGCUUUUUCUCCACGGUCUUUCCUGUUUUCCUCUUUCUCCACCCCCAAAGUUUCCCCUGCAUCCCUGGGCCUGCCUGUUAGAGUCUAGGCUUCCUAGGGCACCGCUGGAGGAGGGGAAAGGGCCAAGUGACACUGGGAGAAAUUCCUGGCCUUGUAGUGAUGUAGCCACAGUCUCCUGGGCGCCCCAGGCCUCCCCUCCUCCAGCUCCUCUCUCUCUGGCUGCUCCGUCUCCAGCUCAGCAGGUUGACCGGAUCUGGGUUUGGAUCUAGACUUGCCCCUUGUCACUCUCCUGGAAGUGGGAAGAGGUCAGCCAGGCCCAGCCCAGCCCCUGAAGGAGGCCGACCCAUGGGAACCAGAAUAUUUCCUAAUCCUGGGAAGCCCUGACAGGCCCCUGCGAGCAGUCUUCCUUCCGCCUCACCCCAAGUCCUCUCCGUGCUCCCUCUUCAGGGCCCCUCCCUCUGCGCCCUUCAUUCUUCUCCAGCCCAGAAGCUGUUGUGACGGUGACUCGGCCUCCACUCCUCCUGGCCCCUCCUCGCCAGGGACUUCCCUGGGGUGGGCCUCUCACCAGCUUUGGAAAAUCUGGGCUGUUUGUGAUCAAACAGGAGGCUGCCUCACUGCACGCCCCAGGCUCGCUCUCUCUGUUAGAGGCCCGACCACAGAAAGGUCCAGCUGGCUCUGGAGGAGAGCAGGGACUAGAGAGAAAAAGGCGAGCUGAGAAGGCCGGGCAAGAAGAGGAGGGCAGGAAGAGGAAAUCGGAAAUGGAGGAAGAGAAGGCAAGAGGGCAAGGAAAAAGCCCAUUCUGGAUAAGCCGUGAGAUCCUGCUGUUACAGCACUGCGAACUGUAUCUAGUCACUUAUGAUGGAGCGUGAUAAUGUGAGAAAAAGAAUGUGUAAUGUAGGUGUCACCGGGUCACCUUGCUGCACAGCAGAAAAUUGACAGAACGUUGUAAACCAGCUAUAAUGGAAAAAAUAAACAUCAUUUAUCUAGUCUCAAAAAAAAAAAGAAAAGAAAAGAAAAGAAAAAGCCCGUUUCUUCCCUCUGCGCUGGGUCUUGCUGGGAUGUUGAGUGACCCUAGAGACCCCCCCACCAAUGAGCCUCGCUGCUCUGCGCUAACUCCUGAGCCUGGCUUCCCCAUCCUCAGCCUCAGUGAUCCCUUGCUGCAAAAUGGGGACAGUGCGUCCUGUUUUGCCCACCUCCUGUGAUGGUAGUGAAAAUAAAUCGGUAGCGGGAGUUCCCCAAUGGCCAAGCAGUUGAGGAUCUAGCAUUGUCCUCGCUGUGGCUCGGCUCACUGCUGUGGCGCAGAUUUGAUCUCUGGCUCAGGAGUUUCUGCAUGCUGCGGGCACAGCCAAAAGAAAAAAAAGAGAGAGAGAGAGAGUUUACGGACAUCCCUUGUAAACGAUUGACUGUUUACAAAUAUAAGGUCUCAGUUCAUCAUUUGCUGAACAAAUGCCUGGGUAGGGGACGGAUGGGGACCAUCGAGAUGAGCUGGACUUUCUCCAUCAUUCCUGCCUGAUUCUGGGGUUUCUUUAUUCUUACACAACAUCAUAGACAUAGGGAUGGACUAGUCAGACCCAUGUCCUGCCCACUUAGAGCUCAAAGACUCUGGGGCUCCCCUGUCCAGUCCAGUAGUCAUCAGCCCACAUGUGGCUAUUUAAAUAUAAACUCGGAGUUCCUGCUGUGGCUUAGUGGUAAUGAACCCGACUAGUAUUCAUGAGGAUG
ensembl:lncRNA